GGGGAUUUAGCUCAGUGGUAGAGCACUUGCCUCACAAGCGCAAGGCCCUGGGUUCGGUCCCCAGCUCCA
rfam:Rattus norvegicus chromosome 10, whole genome shotgun sequence.